CCUACGGGAGGCCGCAGUGGGGAAUCUUGCACUAAUGGAGGAAACUCUGAUGCAGCGAUGCCGCGUGAGUGAAGAAGGCCUUUGGGUUGUAAAGCUCUUUCGUCGGGGAAGAAAAUGACUGUACCCGAAUAAGAAGGUCCGGCUAACUUCGUGCCAGCAGCCGCGGUAAU
rnacentral:rRNA from 1 species